rnacentral:rRNA from 1 species
UACGUAGGGGGCUAGCGUUGUCCGGAAUCAUUGGGCGUAAAGAGCGUGUAGGCGGGCCGGUAAGUCCGCUGUGAAAGUCCAGGGCUCAACCCUGGGAUGCCGGUGGAUACUGUCGGGCUCGAGUCCGGAAGAGGCGAGUGGAAUUCCAGGUGUAGCGGUGAAAUGCGUAGAUAUCAGGAAGAACACCCGUGGCUAAGGCGGCUCUCUAGUACGGUACUGACGCUGAGACGCGAAAGCGUGGGGAGCGAACAGG